GAUGAACGCUGGCGGCGUGCCUAACACAUGCAAGUCGAGCGAACAGACGAGGAUCUUUCUCCUCCGACGUUAGCGGCGGCCGGGUGAGUAACACGUGGCCAACCUACCUCUCCGACUGGGAUAACUUCGGCAAACCGGAGCUACUACCAGAAAAUUUAUUGACCCGCAUUGUUCCAUAGUGAAAUACGGUUUUUCUGUCACUUAUAGAUGGAUCCGCGCCGCAUUAGCUAGGUGGUAAGGCAACGGCUUACCCAGGCAACGAUGCGUAGCCGACCUGAAAGGGUGGUCGGCCACCUUGGAUGUGAGACACGGUCCAGACGCCUGCGCGAGGCCGCAGUCCGGAAUCUUACGCAAUGGGCGAGAGCCUUACAGAGCAACACCGAGUGAGUGAUGAAGGUGUACGGAUCGGAAAACUCUGUUAUUAGUGGAGAACAAAUGUUUAUGUAACUGUGCACAUCUUGACGGUACCUGAAGAAAAAGCCACGGCUAACUACGUG
rnacentral:rRNA from 1 species